AUUGAACGCUGGCGGCAGGCCUAACACAUGCAAGUCGAGCGAGCGGCGGACGGGUGAGUAACGUCUGGGAAACUGCCUGAUGGAGGGGGAUAACUACUGGAAACGGUAGCUAAUACCGCAUACCAUCUGAUGUGCCCAGAAGGGAUUAGCUAGUAGGUGGGGUAACGGCUCACCUAGGCGACGAUCCCUAGCUGGUCUGAGAGGAUGACCAGCCAAGCUUGAACUGAGUGACUGUCCAUACGCCUACGGGAGGCAGCAUUGGGGAAGAUUGCACAAUGGGCGCUAGCCUGAUGCAGCCAUGCCGCGUGUGUGAAGAAGGCCUUCGGGUUGUAAAGAACUGUAAGCGGGGAGGCGUUACCCACAGAAGAAGCACCGGCUAACUCCGUGCCAGCAGCCGCGGUAAUAA
rnacentral:rRNA from 1 species